rnacentral:rRNA from 1 species
GGGUGCAAUUAUACCAGCACUAAUGCACCGAAUCCCAUUAGAACUCCGAAGUUAAACUUGCUUGGGCGAGAGUAGUACUAAGAUGGGUGACCUCUUGGGAAGUCCUCGUGUUGCACCCC